rnacentral:rRNA from 1 species
GGAUUAGAUACCCUGGUAGUCCACGCCCUAAACGAUGUCAACUAGCCGUUGGGUUUUUAAAAACUUAGUGGCGCAGCUAACGCGAUAAGUUGACCGCCUGGGGAGUACGGUCGCAAGAUUAAAACUCAAAGGAAUUGACGGGGGCCCGCACAAGCGGUGGAGCAUGUGGUUUAAUUCGAUGCAACGCGAAGAACCUUACCAGGCCUUGACAUCCUGAGAACUUUCUAGAGAUAGAUUGGUGCCUUCGGGAACUCAGUGACAGGUGCUGCAUGGCUGUCGUCAGCUCGUGCCG